rnacentral:sRNA from 1 species
AAAAAAUUAAGGUUUUUUAUCGUUAAAUUUUCUUCUUUUUUUUAAUAUCUAGAAAUUCAAAUUUGAAGGUUCUACAUCUAUAAAGACGGGAUUCACACCAGAUUAAAUUCUAUUGUCAAAUAUUAAAUCACAGUCAUUGGAAUUUGACACCCUUU